rnacentral:rRNA from 1 species
UACGUGAGUGGCAAGCGUUAUCCGGAAUUACUGGGCGUAAAGAGCGCGUAGGCGUCUCGAUAAGUCAGAGGUGAAAAGUCAGGGCUUAACCUUGGCCUUGCCUUUGAAACUAUCGAGAUAGAGUACUGGAUAGGAGGGCGGAACUACAAGUGUAGCGGUGGAAUGCGUAGAUAUUUGUAGGAAUGCCGAUGACGAAGGUAGCUCUCUGGACAGAUACUGACGCUGAGGUGCGAAAGCUAGGGGAGCAAACAGG